rnacentral:rRNA from 1 species
AUGAAAAUCAGUGGUUGGAAGGAAAAGUUGCUAUCAGCAGGAGGAAAGGAAAUCCUUCUCAAAUCGGUUGUACAAGCUAUCCCAACUUAUGCAAUGUCCGUCUUUAAAAUUCCUAAAAAGAUUUGUAAAGGAAUCAUUGACGCGAUGUCGCAUUUUUGGUGGGGUAAUGAAGACAAUCAGAAGAGAAUGCAUUGGAUGGCAUGGUGGAAGAUGUGUGUACCAAAAGACCAAGGAGGAAUGGGUUUUCGAGACAUACAUUGUUUCAAUCUGGCCUUGUUAGCCAAACAAGCGUGGCGCCUGCUUGAUAAUCCUGAUUCCCUAUGUGCCACCAUUUUGAGAGCUAAAUAUUUUCCAGAUGGAGAUUUAAUGAAUGCGAGUCUGAAAAAAGGAUCCUCUUUCACUUGGCAAAGCAUUAUGGCCGGAGUGGAUUCUCUCAAAAAAGGUUAUAUUUGGAGAGUUGGUAAUGGACAGAAUAUUGAUAUUUGGAGAGAUGCUUGGAUCCCGAAUGGGGCAAAUAGGAAAAUUAUCACUCCUAGAGAGGGUAGCUUCUAA